UUCGUCACACUAUCAUUAACUGAAUCCAUAGGUUAAUGAGGCGAACCGGGGGAACUGAAACAUCUAAGUACCCCGAGGAAAAGAAAUCAACCGAGAUUCCCCCAGUAGCGGCGAGCGGACGGGGAGCAGCCCAGAGCCUGAAUCAGUGUGUGUGUUAGUGGAAGCGUCUGGAAAGGCGUGCGAUACAGGGUGACAGCCCCGUACACAAAAAUGCACAUAUUGUGAGCUUGAUGAGUAGGGCGGGACACGUGGUAUCCUGUCUGAAUAUGGGGGGACCAUCCUCCAAGGCUAAAUACUCCUGACUGACCGAUAGUGAACCAGUACCGUGAGGGAAAGGCGAAAAGAACCCCGGCGAGGGGAGUGAAAAAGAACCUGAAACCGUGUACGUACAAGCAGUGGGAGCACGCUUAGGCGUGUGACUGCGUACCUUUUGUAUAAUGGGUCAGCGACUUAUAUUCUGUAGCAAGGUUAACCGAAUAGGGGAGCCGAAGGGAAACCGAGUCUUAACUGGGCGUUAAGUUGCAGGGUAUAGACCCGAAACCCGGUGAUCUAGCCAUGGGCAGGUUGAAGGUUGGGUAACACUAACUGGAGGACCGAACCGACUAAUGUUGAAAAAUUAGCGGAUGACUUGUGGCUGGGGGUGAAAGGCCAAUCAAACCGGGAGAUAGCUGGUUCUCCCCGAAAGCUAUUUAGGUAGCGCCUCGUGAAUUCAUCUCCGGGGGUAGAGCACUGUUUCGGCAAGGGGGUCAUCCCGACUUACCAACCCGAUGCAAACUGCGAAUACCGGAGAAUGUUAUCACGGGAGACACACGGCGGGUGCUAACGUCCGUCGUGAAGAGGGAAACAACCCAGACCGCCAGCUAAGGUCCCAAAGUCAUGGUUAAGUGGGAAACGAUGUGGGAAGGCCCAGACAGCCAGGAUGUUGGCUUAGAAGCAGCCAUCAUUUAAAGAAAGCGUAAUAGCUCACUGGUCGAGUCGGCCUGCGCGGAAGAUGUAACGGGGCUAAACCAU
rnacentral:rRNA from 1 species